AGAGUUUGAUCCUGGCUCAGAACGAACGCUUGCGGCGUGCUUAACACAUGCAAGUCGAACGAGAAAGGGGACUUCGGUUCCUGAGUAAAGUGGCGCACGGGUGAGUAACGCGUAGAUAAUCUACCCUAGUGUUUGGGACAACAUCGGGAAACUGGUGCUAAUACCGGAUACGCUUCUUUUAUCGCAGGAUGAGAGAAGGAAAGGUGGCCUCUUCAUGAAAGCUACUGCACAAGGAUGAGUUUGCGUACCAUUAGCUAGUUGGUGGGGUAAAGGCCUACCAAGGCGACGAUGGUUAGCGGGUCUGAGAGGAUGAUCCGCCACACUGGCACUGAAACACGGGCCAGACUCCUACGGGAGGCAGCAGUGAGGAAUUUUGCACAAUGGGGGAAACCCUGAUGCAGCGACGCCGCGUGAGUGAUGAAGGCCCUUGGGUCGUAAAGCUCUGUCAAUAGGGAAGAAGUGUGUAACGAUUAAUACUCGUUACAUUUGACGUACCUAUAAAGAAGCACCGCUAAAU
rnacentral:rRNA from 1 species